CCUAACACAUGCAAGUCGAACGGUAACAGGAAGAAGCUUGCUUCUUUGCUGACGAGUGGCGGACGGGUGAGUAAUGUCUGGGAAACUGCCUGAUGGAGGGGGAUAACUACUGGAAACGGUAGCUAAUACCGCAUAACGUCGCAAAACCAAAGAGGGGGACCUUCGGGCCUCUUGCCAUCGGAUGUGCCCAGAUGGGAUUAGCUAGUAGGUGGGGUAACGGCUCACCUAGGCGACGAUCCCUAGCUGGUCUGAGAGGAUGACCAGCCACACUGGAACUGAGACACGGUCCAGACUCCUACGGGAGGCAGCAGCGGGGAAUAUUGCACAAUGGGCGCAAGCCUGAUGCAGCCAUGCCGCGUGUAUGAAGAAGGCCUUCGGGUUGU
rnacentral:rRNA from 1 species